AACGAACGCUGGCGGCAGGCUUAAUACAUGCAAGUCGAGCGGGCACUUCGGUGUCAGCGGCGCACGGGUGCGUAACGCGUGGGAACAUGCCUUUAGGUACGGAACAACCAAGGGAAACUUUGGCUAAUACCGUAUAAUAUCUCUGGAUCAAAGAUUUAUCGCCUAAAGAUUGGCCCGCGUUAGAUUAGGUAGUUGGUGGGGUAAUGGCCUACCAAGCCGACGAUCUAUAGGGGGUCUGAGAGGAUGAUCCCCCACACUGGAACUGCGACACGGUCCAGACUCCUACGGGAGGCAGCAGUAAGGAAUAUUGGACAAUGGGCGAAAGCCUGAUCCAGCCAUGCCGCGUGAGUGAUGAAGGCCUUAGGGUUGUAAAGCUCUUUUAGAUGGGAAGAUAAUGACUGUACCAUCAGAAUAAGCCCCGGCUAAAUUCGUG
rnacentral:rRNA from 1 species